UACGAAGGUGGCAAGCGUUGUUCGGAUUUACUGGGCGUACAGGGAGCAUAGGCGGUUGGAUAAGCCCUCCGUGAAAUCUCCAGGCUUAACCUGGAAAGUGCAGAGGGGACUGUUCAGCUAGAGGAUGGGAGAGGAGCGCGGAAUUCCCGGUGUAGCGGUGAAAUGCGUAGAGAUCGGGAGGAAGGCCGGUGGCGAAGGCGGCGCUCUGGAACAUUUCUGACGCUGAGGCUCGAAAGCGUGGGGAGCAAACAGG
rnacentral:rRNA from 1 species